ensembl:lncRNA
GUGGUGUGGUAGAUGGUCACUAGACAUAGUCACCAAUGAUGCCUCUUUUCCCUGUACAAAGAGGCUGCUCUCCCUCGCAAGAGGUGAAAUCUAUUACCACUACUUUUGAACCUGGACUGGCCUUUGACCUGCUUUGACUACUGGAAUGUGACAGAAGUGGCCCUGCCAGUUUCAGGCCCAGCCCUUAAGAGACUUGGCAAGAGUCUGCUUUCCUGGAAUCCAUUUGCCAAGUUACAAGGAAGUCCCGACUAUCCUGAAGAGAGAGCUCCGUGGGGAAACUUGUGUGAUGAGACAUCAUUGUUAGGAAAGAGUGGCUACUUGGAGAAAAAUUCAAAGUGCUCACGUCUACAUUCACUUCCAAGGCCCCAGUUAUCCCAGGGACUCAUGCCAGAGGUCAGAGGACAGCUGUUUCCCCUCAAAUCUCUGAAGAGCAACCAAAGUGCAGAGAACCUGCUCAUUUGCCUGGGCAACAUCAGACAGCAUGAGUAGAGCCAGUUUGAAGAUCUAAAGGUGUAAUAGGGCAAUGGCAUAUGUGGGAGAGACCUGGAUCCUUGGGCAUCCUUGGUUUAUGGUGGCAUGCACAGAAUGGACCUUGCCUCCAUCAGUUCUCUACUCCUGGCCUCUCUGUGGAAGUCACUGGCAUAAUCCAGGACAGUCUUUGGUCCCUGGACACUGUAUCCUCCUUGUCCUAACAUUGAAGCCUCAACUCAUCUAAGCCUCUGGUCUACUACUGAAGGUACAGCUAU